AUUGAACGCUGGCGGAAUGCUUUACACAUGCAAGUCGAACGGCAGCACGGGGGCAGCCCUGGUGGCGAGUGGCGAACGGGUGAGUAAUACAUCGGAACGUGCCCGGUCGUGGGGGAUAACGUAGCGAAAGUUACGCUAAUACCGCAUACGAUCUGAGGAUGAAAGCGGGGGACCUUCGGGCCUCGCGCGAUCGGAGCGACUGAUGUCAGAUUAGGUAGUUGGUGGGGUAACGGCCUACCAAGCCGACGAUCUGUAGCUCGUCUGAGAGGACGACCAGCCACACUGGAACUGAGACACGGCCCAGACUCCCACGGGAGGCAGCAGUGGGGAAUUUUGGACAAUGGGCGCAAGCCUGAUGCAGCCAUUCCGCGUGCAGGACGAAGGCCUUCGGGUUGUAAACUGCUUUUGUACGGAACGAAAAGGCUCUGGCUAAUACCUGGGGCUCAUGACGGUACCGUAAGAGUAAGCACCGGCUAACUACGUG
rnacentral:rRNA from 1 species